rnacentral:rRNA from 1 species
UACGUAGGGGGCUAGCGUUGUCCGGAUUUAUUGGGCGUAAAGCGCGUGUAGGCGGCUUUGCAAGUCGGGUGUGAAACUCCCUCAGCUCAACUGAGGAAGUGCGCCCGAAACUGCAGAGCUUGAGUACCGGAGAGGAUGGCGGAAUUCCCCCAAGUAGAGGUGAAAUUCGUAGAUAUGGGGAGGAACACCGGUGGCGAAGGCGGCCAUCUGGACGGAUACUGACGCUGAGACGCGAAAGCGUGGGGAGCAAACAGG